GGUUUCUGCAGUUUCUCAGCUUCGUUCGUCGCGGGGUCCGUACUUGCUCGGAAGCUGAAAGCCGGACCAGCCCCACCGUGCACCGGGCUCAAGAUUUCGACUCUGGUUGGACUUCAAGCAUGCCAUUAGCUAAUCUGCCACACUGAUGGGAAUAAAAUUCUUCUUAAAGCA